AGCAAGAGGAGUACAAGAAGGAGGGUAUUAUCUGGGACUUCAUUGACUUUGGCAUGGAUUUGGCUGCUUGCAUUGAGCUCAUUGAAAAGCCCAUGGGAAUCUUCUCCAUCCUUGAAGAGGAGUGCAUGUUCCCCAAGGCC